GCCUAAGAGAUUAGGUGUUCCCUUCGGGGACAGAAUGACAGGUGGUGCAUGGUUGUCGUCAGAUCGUGUCGUGAGAUGUUGGGUUAAGUCCCGCAACGAGCGCAACCCUUAUUAUCAGUUGCCAGCAUUAAGUUGGGCACUCUGGUGAGACUGCCGGUGACAAACCGGAGGAAGGUGGGGAUGACGUCAAAUCAUCAUGCCCCUUAUGACCUGGGCUACACACGUGCUACAAUGGAUGGUACAACGAGUUGCGAACUCGCGAGAGUAAGCUAAUCUCUUAAAGCCAUUCUCAGUUCGGAUUGUAGGCUGCAACUCGCCUACAUGAAGUCGGAAUCGCUAGUAAUCGCGGAUCAGCAUGCCGCGGUGAAUACGUUCCCGGGUCUUGUACACACCGA
rnacentral:rRNA from 1 species